rnacentral:rRNA from 1 species
AUUGAACGCUGGCGGCAUGCCUAACACAUGCAAGUCGAACGGCAGCAUGACGUGGUUUACCAUGUUGAUGGCGAGUGGCGAACGGGUGAGUAAUACGUGGAGAUAUGCCUUGAAGUGGGGGAUAACUUAGGGAAACUUAAGCUAAUACCGCAUAAGCUCUAAGGAGGAAAGCUGGGGACCGAAAGGCCUGGCGCUUUAAGAUUAGUCCACGUCUGAUUAGCUAGUUGGGUGGGGUAAAGGCCUACCAAGGCGACGAUCAGUAGCUGGUCUGAGAGGAUGGACAGCCACACUGGGACUGAGACACGGCCCAGACUCCUACGGGUGGCAG